rnacentral:sRNA from 1 species
GCCAGGUGUGGUGACUCACACCUGUAAUCCCAGUGGCAUGGGAGGCUGAGGCAGGAGGAUCUAGAGUUCAAAGCCAGCCUCAGCAAAAGUUCAAAGCCAGCCUCAGCUAAGCAACUCAGUGAAACCCUGUCUCUA